UACGUAGGGGGCAAGCGUUAUUCGGAAUUACUGGGCGUAAAGCGCACGUAGGCGGCUUUGUAAGUUAGAGGUGAAAGCCCAGGGCUUAACCCUGGAAUUGCCUUUAAGACUGCAUCGCUCGAAUUGUGGAGAGGUGAGUGGAAUUCCGAGUGUAGAGGUGAAAUUCGUAGAUAUUCGGAAGAACACCAGUGGCGAAGGCGACUCACUGGACACAUAUUGACGCUGAGGUGCGAAAGCGUGGGGAGCAAACAGG
rnacentral:rRNA from 1 species